ensembl:lncRNA
UUUAGAUAGCCAGCCGCCCCAGCUGGGGCCAUGGAGGCUUAGAGAGGGCCAGAGGCCUGCUUAAGGCCAUAGUACUUGUGCCGGGUCGGAGGCGAGUCCCUGGGUCUUGGCUCCAGACCCUGCAGAAGGACGCUGGGAGAGAGACGCAGUCAAUAAUGGAGUGGGGCCUGCGCUGGCGGCUCAGUGGUAAAGAAUCUGCCUGCCGAUGCAGGGGGCGUGUGUUCGAUCCCUGGUCUGGGAAGAUCCCACAUGUCUCGGAGCAACUAAGCCCUGCACCACAACUACUGAGCCCGAGCUCUAGAGCCACGAGCUGCAACUAGCCCGUGCUCCGCAACAAGAGAAACCACUGCAAUAAGAAGGCGGUGCACCGCAGCAGAGUAGCCCCUGCUCAUCGCAACUACAGAAAGCCCACGCAAAGCAAGGAAGACCCAGCAAAGCCAAAAAUGAAAUAAAUCAGUUCAGUUCAGUCGCUCA